UUCCCCGUCAGAGCGACAGUGUUGAGCACUGCUGUCCAAGCCAGAUCGUGUCUGAUGCACCAGCGGAGCCGCCGCCGGGCCCGGGGGCGGUCGAGGGCUGGUAAUGACUGUUCCUCAGUGCUGACUGUUCCUUGUUUCCUUGCAGGGCGAGCCGGAGCCCGGGACGCCUCUGGGACCCCCAUGACCGGGGCCAGGCCGGCGAUGGGGGCACGUACCCGGGGUGUGCCGCAGGGUCUGAGCCCCUGCGGGGGGGGAGCGGGCACUGUGAAGGCAGAGACAGGGGGUUGAGCCUCUGGGAGACCUCAAGUGUGAAGGCUGCAGCUGGCAGUGAUGGUAUGGUGAGAGCAGCUGUCUGUUUUGCUCCACUAUGCUUGCACUCUAGCAAAUAAUGGGCACUGUGAAGGCAGAGGCGGGGUUGAGCCUCUGGGAGACCUCAAGUGAAGGCUGCAGCUGGCAGUGAUGGUGUGGUGAGGGCAGUUGACUGUUUUGCUCUACCGUGUGUGCCCUCUGACAGUGAAGAAUGGUUGAGAUUUGUCAGAAGUUGUCCUGGGCCCUGCUGGGGUUUCAGUGUUUUGCUAAUGAAGACGGAUGCUUCUGCUGCUCCUGUGCUGCUGCCUCAGAUCCUUGUCCAAGCCACAGCAUUCACAUCACCCUGUGACAGCUCUGGCCUUUCUCAGAGCUGGCAGGAGUGAUGAAUUGGUGUCCUGCCAACUUAGAUGGAGGGUGUCACAUUUUUUUAUCUCCUGGGUAUGAGGCAUGUAACUGAAAUGGAUUCUGGAACUUGCUGCAUGUUUAAUGCAGUUUGGAUGCUUUUGUCUGCAGGGGCUGCAUUCCCUGCCUGACAGCUCAUGUUAUCCUGCCCCUGUCAUUACAAGCAAGGAAGGCUCUCCUUGGAGCAAUGACAAGUACAGGAGGGCCUUGUGUGUAAGGAGAGGAGUCAGGGCUUGGCUCUCCCCUGCCAUCCAGAAAGCUUUAGUGGUUCAUCUCUGACAGCUUGUGAAGUGAGAAAGUGGCAUCUGGGAUGCUGCAGUGCAGUGUGUUUUUGUAUUGUAUAGAGCCUGUUUAAUAAAAUCUGAGUACUGGGUGAA